CACCCUCUAACAGUAUCCCCCGCAAAGGUCAGUGAACAAUUCUUUGGACAUGUCUGCUGGGGUGGGGGUCUCAUCAGGAGUUGUGUGUGUCUGUGUGACCCAGAGAGGCCCUAAUAGGAUCUCGAUAUUUACUGCAUCCACUCCACACACACACACACACACACACGUUGUUUUUUGUUUGUUUGUUUGUUGAUGGCCCAGUGCAGUGUUUCAGUGUGGAGGAGUGGGGAGAGAGUGUUGAGGAAACCUUUUAAAAUAUAUAAUUAUGAGCAAAGCCUCGCCUGUGACAAGGAGCGGGAGCGCACUGACAGUAAUUGCCUCGGUUGCUCCCCCCGGAUGGGGCUCUGCCCCCGUAACAAGAGAGAAGGGGUCCCGGGGACGGGCCAGCUCCCGACCGCGACCCCCGUGCCGGAACCCGCCGGGUCCCACCGCCGCCACCAGCGUGACCGUUCCUGUGUCCCGAAGCAGGUGGCAGCUCGGCGGCGGGAGGGCUGCGGGGUGGCCUCGCUGGGACGAAGCGGGGCCCGGCAGGAGCAGCGCGGCACCGGCGACCUCAUCACCAGGUGAUCUGGAAAUAAAUGAUGGAUCGCUUUGUGGACGGGCGAGGGGAGAGGAAGACUCGUUAGUGCAGAUGCUAAGCGAGGAGUAAAGCUGCCUGAGAGCACUCUGCCGUGAUUGCUUUCUUACAUAACUCUCUGUCUUCACUGCGGACCGCUCCGCUCAGGAGGGAGAAAGAAGCAUAAACCCAAAGCCGGGCCUUUCGAGUGCGGGGUUCCCCUCCUCCAGGAAAGCAGAGCUUCGGGGCGCAAUCAUUUACUUCUGUGAUCAUCACUGGGUUUCCUGGCAAGGAGGCUGAGCGGGCUUUUUUCUUAACCUCCUGUGUUUUUGUUUUUUGUUUGCUCAGAUGACAUUCCCUGCUUCGAUGCCCUCCCCGCCUCCUUCCCCCCCUCCCCCCCCCCCCACCCCCCGCCCGGACAGCGCUCACACACAGACACACACACACGCACACCCCUUCUCCUUUCAUCAUCAGCAAAUAAAGAUUAGGUGGGCAGAUUA
rnacentral:lncRNA from 1 species